UAUUAAAAAAUUCAUCAUUUUUAUUGUUAAAAACUGAUGUGACUAAUAAAAAAUCAAACAAUGACACAUGGUGUGCCACAUCUACCUCAUGUUGACGUACAUGGACCAGUUUUUAAUAGUACAAUUUAGUGAAUUUUUUAGCA
rnacentral:pre_miRNA from 1 species